GUUUUAAUAAUUUAAAUAAAAUAUUGGUUUUGUAAACCAAAAAUAAGUUCACUUUUAAAACU
rnacentral:tRNA from 1 species